rnacentral:rRNA from 1 species
GACGAACGCUGGCGGCGUGCUUAACACAUGCAAGUCGAACGAAGUGGCGAACGGGUGAGUAACGCGUAAUCAACCUGCCCUUCAGAGGGGGACAACAGUUGGAAACGACUGCUAAUACCGCAUACUGAAGGAGGGGAUUGCGUCGGAUUAGCUGGUUGGGGGGGUAACGGCCCACCAAGGCGAUGAUCCGUAGCCGGUCUGGGAGGAUGAACGGGCACAUUUGGACUGGAACACGGGCCCGACUCCUUCGGGGAGGAACAGUGGGGAAUUUUCCGCAAUGGGCGGAAGUCUGACUGAGGAACGCCGCGUGAGAUAUAACAGCCUUCGGGUUGUAAAGCUCUUUUAAUCGGGACGCGGUACCGGAAGAAAAAGCCACGGCUAACUACGUGCCAGCAGCCGCGGUAAUAC